AUGUAUGGAGGAAGACUAGCAUACAUCCUUUCAGUUGAUUCAUCAUCAGCAAAUGGGUCAAAGUAUUUUUCCUUUAUGUAGUUUCGAUAACGCCUCCAAGUAUUGUUGAGUUUGGAUUUGAUGUAUUGAUGAGCAUUUGGGUAACCGUCUAAAUCAAAAUCAACCUAUAUAAUAAAAAUUAAAAAAUUAUUCGGAUCAUCAAUCCAAGAUCUCUAAGGUAUGAUUUUGCUUCAUGCAUUAUUUUAGGAAUUGAAGUAUCACCCGAAGGAAUAACAUCUCGUAAGAAUUCCAACAACAUCUCGAAGAAUUUGUUAGAAACCCCAUUCAAGCAUUUUAGAUGGUAUAAAUGGAGAAUAGCAGAUAAUUUGGUGUAUUUCGUACAACUAGGAUAUAAUUGUUCAUUGGCAUCUCUUAACCGGCGGUUGAAUUUUGGAUCAUCAAUCGGAGUAUUUAUCGGAUCAUCAAUCGGAGUAUAUAUCGGAUCAUUGAUCGGAGUAUCUAUCGGAGCAUUGAUCGGAGUAGUUAUCGGAUCAUUGAUCGGAGAAUCUAUCGGUUCAAUGAUUGUAGUAGCUAUCGGAUCAUUAUUCAGACUGGUUGCAAGAUCGUUGAUAGAAGUCAUUAUUGGAUCAAUGAUCGGACCAUCGAUCGGAGUAUUUGUGGGAUCAUUGUUCAAAUUAUCCGGAUGAUUGAUUGGAGAAAUAAUUAGAUCGUCUAUGACAAUAUUAGUCAUUCCUUCAUCAAUCAGAUUAGCGACUGGAUAAUUAGUUGGAUCAACCAUUGCUUCAUUUACUAAAAGGGUCAUCUCAUUUUCUACUAUCAUAGGAGGUGCAGAAGAAACUGCUAUGUCACGUCUCUUGCGUUUCAAUGCUUUUUUAUGUGCUCUCGAACCUGGAAUUAAUUCUCCAUGCAUAUACCAUGUCUUAUACCUAUAUGCAUUGUCAAAACUAAAGAGUAUGACAUGCUCACUAAUGGUCUUACGAUUAUAAUAUUUGCCAUUGUGACACUUUGAACAAGGACAUGGUAGUUUUAAUCCAGGUUCCAUCUUGUGGUUUGAAUAGAUUUCAGCAAAAUCUAAAAAACUUUUCAAUCCACUUUGAAAUUUCAUCGAGGUUGAACUUUCAAACAACCAUGAUUUGUCAAGCCCUUUUAUUUGAUCAGUCAUUUUAGUUUAUCUCCUAACAUACAAAUAAAAAGAAACCUCUUAAAAAUCAAUAAAUAAAAAGCCUUUACAAGAUAUAUAUGAUCAAAUCGUAUAUUAUCAUGAUAAAUGCAGGAAAAAUAAUAAUAUCAUACGGCCUGAAAAUUCAAUUUCAGAUAGCACUAUGCAGUCUGAAAAAUUAAGUUCAGACAGCAACAAACAAGAAAAUAGAAUGCAGUCUGGAAAUUCAAUUCCAGACAGCAGUCUGAUUAAAAAUGGGUAAUUUUUGUGACUUGCACACUUCAUAGAACUAAUGAAAGGAUUAACAUCUGAAAAUCUUAAUUUCCUAAUGCCCCGUACGGCAGUCUGAUUAAAAAUGGCAUUUCAAUUACAUGGACGUAAUAAAAUUUUGUCUUAACAGUUCUCAUUUAGAUUUUGGACCCAUAGCUAGCCAAAAUUGAUGUUAAUGUGCAAAAUUGAUAGAUGACCAUCAUGUUUCUAAGGAUGUAGAGAAGAUGGAAUAAUCUAACUGUUGUCUGAAUCAUGUUAUUCAAAAUUGAUUAGACAAUCUACGCAUUGUUCAGAUCAUAGUUUAUUGUGCAGAAUGAUGAAAUUUUUUUUAACAAUCAUGAAGUUUAUUCUUACAAUAAUGAGUGAAAAAUCAGUGGAAGAGUAUUCUUUAUGCCAAAUAAGCACACAACAAAACUAUUGUAUUAUUUUCUUUUAUAAAGAUAUUAUAAUUUUGCAAUAGUCCAAAUUUAUGCUAAUGCUGUAUUAAUUAUUAAAAUUCAAAAUUCAGAACAUUUAAAAAAUGAUGACACGAACUCCAUGUAAACUGGGCAAUUCCCUUCAUUUUAAUAAUGAAAUUUUUUAUUUGCUUUCAAAAAAUAGAUGAUGGCACGGCACAAAACUCAAGUUGCACCAUUUAUAAAUACUAUUUAGUUAUAAGUUAUAACUGACAUACAAUGAUCUCAGAUGCUUCAGUUUUCCAAUUUGUGGAGGAAUUGGUCCUGUCAAUUUAUUACUGUGAAGAUCCCUGACAUACGGAAAAAAUAGAAAAAAUAGAAAAAAUAAAUUAGAUAUUUACAAUCAAAUCUAUUAUCACUCAAUGAUGUGUCAAAUAAAUUUCUAAUAUUUGUGUUGAAUUUUCAAAAAUAUUUAAAUUUGAAGAUAAAGCAUGUAAUUUAAAAUUUCAACAUGGACGAUCAAACUCUUAAAGAGGCAUUUUCUGACUUUGGAGAAGUGACAGAGGGUAGGUGAAGUGAAUUUGUAUCUUUUAUAGCUCAUUUUGGUUGCACAACUUACCAAUCACACAUUGCCAAAAUCCAAUUUUCUACAACUAUUCUUCCAUCCAAGAUUGGAAUUCAUUAAUAAGAAAUCAUUUUAUUUUUAACUUCUUGCUUAAUUAUUAACAUAAAUUUGGUAACUUUACACAAGUUUAGUUCUAUAGAUCCAAUAUCCAUAUUUACAGAUGGUAUAACAUCAACUAAUAGAUAGAUAGACAGAUGGUAUGAGACAGUAAUUUACAGUUGGGCAAUAAAGGAUUUAUGAGUCAUUAAUGGAGAGAAUCAAUCCUCAAUCCCUUAAUUCCCACAACACUCCAGUUGUAAUUGCGUAUUGGGGAAAUACGCAAUUUUUUUCUUCUAAACUCUAAACUAUAUUGGGGGACAUGUACGUAUUGGGGAAAAUAGGUGAUGAUUUCUGGAUAUACUAGUUGAGAUUUUAAUUUCGGGAAAAGGAAAACCCAAAGAAUUUUGAAAUGGAAAGAAAGUGAAAUGGUAAACCUAAAUCGAUAUUGAUUAAACAUUGAAAAAAAUUCAGAACCCAAAGAUGGGUUGUGGAGUCUAACCUGAGUCGGAUGGAAGCCUAACCGAAGUCGUUGACGUUCGCCGGAUGGAAGCCUAAUCUUGCCGGACAGAACUGGAGAUGUAGCCGCAAGUUGCUCGCCGGACAGGAAUGGACGGGAGGUAUCAACGGGAAGUUGCUCGCCGGACAAGAAUGGACAAGAAACAGUGAAGGAAGUUGCUCGCUCCUCGCCUGAGAGGUUGGAAUCGCCGGACAGGAAGUAUCGUUGGGAGUAGGUUUGGGGGUUCAGGUUGAAAUCACGAUUUGGGGUUUUAGUAGUUUAGGUUUUUUAUUUAUUUAAAAUAUUCAUUUAAACUUAGUUGAUAACCAUUUAAAAUAAAGUUAAUAUAUAAUUGAAUUUUCGAAUUUAAAAUUUAUUAAAAUUUAAAAGUUAAUAUUAGAAAUUGAUAUUUUUUAUAAUUUUUAAAAAAUCACUAGUUGUUAAUUUUUAACUUUUUAGGAUAUAUAAUUUAAAAUAACAUUUAUAAAUGAAUUUAUAACUUCAAAUAACUUUUUAAAAUUUAAUUUUUCACUUUAAAUUUAAAAUAUCAAAAAUAACUUUAAUUUAUAACUUCU
rnacentral:lncRNA from 1 species